rnacentral:rRNA from 1 species
GUGCCAGCAGCCGCGGUAAUACAGAGGUCUCAAGCGUUGUUCGGAUUCAUUGGGCGUAAAGGGUGCGUAGGCGGCGGUGCAAGUCGGGUGUGAAAUCCUAAGGCUCAACCUUGGAAAUGCACUCGAUACUGCGCCGCUCGAGCGCUGGAGAGGAGACUGGAAUUCACGGUGUAGCAGUGAAAUGCGUAGAUAUCGUGAGGAAGGCCGGUGGCGAAGGCGAGUCUCUGGACAGUUGCUGACGCUGAGGCACGAAGGCCAGGGGAGCAAACGGGAUUAGAAACCCCCGUAGUCC